GGGGGGGGAGGCUCAGCAAAGUGCCUUCUCCACCAUCGUCUGAGGGGCUCUAAACUAGAUCUCGCAGUUUGUUGUGAAGCAGGGGAUUGGGCAGGGAGUUAGACAUAUGGUCUUGCAUCUUAUAUGUGUUAGGAGACAGAGCUGCUGUGUGGUGCGGUGCAGAGGCUGGGCGGACCCUCUAUUGCGCACGGCCUUGCCUUGCUCUGGGAUUGGUGUUCCCUGGAGGCACUCCAGUCCUGCCCCAGCUCUAGCUGUGUGUGUGAUCCACUGAAGUUGCCAAUAACUACUUAUCCCCGUGGGGCUUAAUAAUCCCCUAAUGGCCAGUAUGGAAAGCUCACCUCCCUACCCACCUCCUGGAGGUGUGGAAAUAAAUGAGAGAAAGAAAACCCCUCCAAAAGAAAAAGUGUUAUCUGAGAGUUGGAAAUAUGGGUAAAAAAUGACUCCUUGUCCUUUCAAUGUCACCCCAGAAAACACUGCUUUGUGCAGGAUCGUUAUUCCGGAUGGGAGAAAUUGUGGGUGCUUCAUUCAUGGGGUCCAUGUCACUUAAGACCAUCCUUUUAUCUUUGAGGCGGGUGGGAGUGGAGAGGGGGGCCCAGGGGCUACAGCAUUCCAGAAAUGGCCUCAUUUUGCACAUCCUCAGGUCCACAGUUGAGACAGCUUUCUGUUCUAAGAACUUUUGAAAGCGGUUCUGUUUUUCUAAGACCGUUAACCAAAAAUUAAAAAAAAAAAAAUCAAUAAGAAAACUCAACUGAAGGUGUCAGGCUAUUCUCUAGGUCAGUGAGCCUAAGUUGCUGUGGCUCCAGAGUGAGCAGCCACGCCCAAAGGUGGAGGUUGGUGGGGCAAUUGGUGUUCCAAAUGGAGCUCGUUUUGGAAGGAAUGGAUGGAUUUUCCUGGUGGGGAAGGCCUGCGGCUGCGGGCUGACAGAGCUGGACCGGGGGUAGAUUGGGGUUGCUCUGUGAGUCUGCAGACAGAUUCUAAUCUAAGAGCUGGUCUGCCCUGAAAUUAGGGGGAAUCAUGGACCAUGCUGCGAUGUGUAGAAGCCUUCUUUUUCUCAGGAUUGCGACUCGUAAAGGUAUUUGUCUCCUCGGUCUCAUUUAAAAUGCUUAUGUUUACAAGGUUCCUUUACUAGGAGCAAUAUCCAUGGAUGUUGUAUUUCUAACCUGUUGUGUUGUUUACCUCGAGGAAAAAUGGGCUUGCUUUACCUUAUUGACUCAGCUUGAUGGAAAAUAUUACCCUGGUGGAGAUGGAGAUGGGGCCACCAUUUUGAAAUAACUACAUGGGUUCACCUGUUCAGGGCUGUUGUAAGGAUCAUGUGGAGAGCACUGAGCGUUGUGUGUGGCUCCUGGGAAGGGAGUUCUAGUAACUGAGCGUCAUUGUUGUCAUGGCUGUUGGGGAGUGCACGAUAGCAGAGAGGCUGAGAUGGCACAGCAUGCCCGUGGUGGGGACCUGGAUGGAGCCUUCAUGGAGAAGAGAAUGUUCCCCAUCCUGGCUUCUGCACAAGAGUGGGAGUGAGCCCCCCAACUGGCUAAACCAGGAAGAUUGUGGGGCUGGGGCCCCCUGGCUGCCUGGGGCUCUCUGGAAUUUCUGCCUCCUUGUUUCAGAUUGGUUAUCUACCCCAGACUGAGUGGCAACUCCACGGCAGAUGAUGACUGGGAGAGCGGCCUGAGGUAGACACUCACAAUUCGCCAGCGCUGCCAAGAAUAACAAGAGGGGGCAGGAGGGGAACACAGACCCUCAUGCAAAAGAGUGGGUUUUGAAUUCAGUAGGUGAGCUACUUCUUUUUUUUGAGAUGUGUCAUUUGUCUCUGUGUCUUAGAAAGCCAGCCCUGCCUCUCUCACCUCAACUGAUUCUUGGAUUUUGUGAGUGACCAUCUCACAGUCUUCUAGCAAAACACUUCUGAGGUAGACUCCUUACAAAGCCUCGUGCAGUAUUCAGAGCAGGGCAAGAGGCAAGGGGCAAGGGAUUUGGGUUCUGGAAGAGCUCUGGCCCCAGCAGUGCACUCAGACUGGCCCAUUCUGGUGUCCCCAUGGUAGACACAAAGCUGAGACCUGCCUGGGCUCUAACUGGAAGCAUCUGCCUGUAACUGGGCCCUGAAGGGAGUUACAGAGAAUCUGGCAGGAAAAGGGGUCGCUGGGUGAUCUGGCUUCCUCUCAUCUGUCCCUGGUCAUUUCUGAACUAAAACCGGGCCCCAGCCCUCAGGCGUGACCCCUGAUCCCAGACACCUGCAAAUGGUGAUUUCCUCCCAGGGUUCUGGGUAAGUAGCACAGUGGAGGUGGCCAGCAUUUAAAUGAAGCCGCUGACAUGGCUGAAUUUAUGGUAUCCUAAAAAAGGAGAUGCAAAGCCCUUUUGACAAAUUGUUAAAUAAAGAUUGCAAGUCGUGGAAGGAUGCAUGUAGCAAAUUUUUAUUACAUAUGUAUGUAAAUAUAUAAAGUUCUGGAAGGCUGUGCACUAAACCACUGGCAAAGACUGAGAAAAAAGGAGAACUUGGCUUUUUACAUUACGGACUUUUUUUUUUCUCCAGAAAUUUCAGAUAGUCUUGAAAGCAUGACUUAUCAUACAAUACUUACAUUCUGUACGUUCCUUGCCACCUGACAACCUCAGAAAACACAAAACCAGUUCUAGCCUCAAAAGUUCUGUGACUCUGCACACAUUCUGCACCUUCCAGUUCUUUCCACGUGCUUCUGGUCCCUGGGACCCCCGUUCCGAUCACUCAGCUAUGCGCGAUCGUUGCUACCAUCACCUGCUAAUUUCCUUUUUGAUCAUGGACUUUAUUCCUGGCAGUUUUUCUUCAUCAAUUCGAGUUCACAAAACCGUCCUUUGCCUUGUAGUGAAGCAAUCUGGGGAGACAUUUUCCACAGCGUGGGGGGAAAAGAAUCUGGAUCAAUACAAACUCAGAAACUGUUCGAAGAGCCCCACAAUGCUUCUGAUUUUUUUCUUGGCUUUCUUCCCUGAUGCUUUUGCAAGAUAAGCUUCCUUUGUUUUCCACUGUGCUUUGCCUUACUCUCCUCUACUUUGAUUUCUUUAGGUAAUCAAGCUACUAGGUUGAUGGAAGGCUGUCCCGAAUGCUGAGGUUCCCUUGAAGUAGUUUCAUCUCUUAACUGGGCUCUGUUGAUAAACUUAUCACAACCAAGUUCUCUUCGAUCAGAGGGUUGGUAAGACGCAGUCAGAGCUGCAGGAAAUGUGAAAAUAUCACAAUCCCUCCUCUGAGGUUUCCGCUGAUACUCGGCAUCAAACAUGGCUUCCCCCGCCCUGCAGUCUCCACAGAUUGCCCGUGGCCUCCUUCAGGCUUCUUGCUUCUGCCUGGAGCAAUUGGGUAAUUAAUUCCUAAGACGCUAAGUGGGUGAUGGAGGCUGGGCAGUGCAGGGGCCUGGGCCUGGGUGUGUUCCCACACCCUUUUCCUCUGGCUGUCGGGGCUUCCCCUGUCCCUGCCAUGGGUCUCCUCAGGCUGCCUGGGGCAGGCUCCUGCCUCCCUCCGCCUCCUUGUGCCUGCCAGCUGUGGCAGUCUGCAGGCAGCGUGGACCUCGGGGUGUGCUCGGCCUGUCCCAGAAUAAUAGGAGUCAGAGGGCAGCGUGAAUGGGGGCGUGCAUGUGCCUUAGCACAUCCCUUCAGCCUUGGGGAGGGUUUGCACGAGGAAGGACUUGGGUAUGACUCCAAUAGUUAUCAAACAAACACAAAAACAACAAUAGCACAAGAAUAAAGAGAGAGCUUGCAUGUGGCAGGGCCACUGGAGGGUUGUGUGGCCCUGGGCGAGUCCCCUUCCCGAGCCUGGCCUCAGCUCUGGGGAGGCCACUCUGCCGAACUCCCUGCUAGAGACCCUGGGCUCACAGCUGCGGAGAACCUGCUUGCUUUCUGCUGGGCCACCUGCUGUGCCGGAUCUCUCAGAGCCUGGCUGAGGAGCCAGAGGAGGGCUGCUCCCGAAGGCACUCUCCCUCUCCUCCCGGCCUCAUCCCCCUAACCGGAGUGGC